CUCACAAAAACCAGCCGUCGACUUCUCAUACCCUUGAACCUUGCUUAGAUCUGCUUCUCUGAUCUCUAGUUUUUUAGUGUUUCUUGCUCGCGUCACUUUAACUGAUUACCACCGUUCUUGUUCAUGUUCGUUGUGUAUGAGUUGACGCAAUAGUUUGUUGAUGAAAGAGUAAAAAUGGAGAAUAAGGAGGUGAUGACAAUUUCCCCAGAUGAUCGAAACUGAUUAUACUGAGCGAAUAGAAUUUUCCUCUCAUCAGAGGAAAGUCAAGCCAAUUAGUCUGAUCCUU